rnacentral:lncRNA from 1 species
GCUGAGUUCAGGGGUCGGCCCAGCGAGAAGAAAACCCCCAUGGUAGCGAAGAAGAAGCGAAGAAAAAUUGGUUCUUCCACCCAUGGAUCGACGAUGGAAGACCGAUAAUAAAUGAAAGGCCCUUCCGGAGAUUGAAGAACUACCACCCUCGGGCUUUUGGGUGGGGUCGGAGGACAAAGAACGCCCGAAAGAGAGAGAUGCGGGGAAA